UAUCUUCGGAUAUGAGUAGAGCGGCGGACGGGUGAGUAACGCGUAGGAAUCUACCUAGUAGAAGGGGAUAGCCCGGGGAAACCCGGAUUAAUACCGUAUACCUCCUUCGGGAGAAAGAAGGCCUCUCUUUGAAGCUUUCGCUACUAGAUGAGCCUGCGUAAGAUUAGCUUGUUGGUGAGGUAAAAGCUCACCAAGGCGACGAUCUUUAGCUGGUCUGAGAGGACGAUCAGCCACAUUGGGACUGAGACACGGCCCAGACUCCUACGGGAGGCAGCAGUGGGGAAUAUUGGACAAUGGGCGCAAGCCUGAUCCAGCCAUACCGCGUGUGUGAAGAAGGCCUUCGGGUUGUAAAGCACUUUAAGCAGGGAGAAAAAGUUAUAAGUUAAUACCUUAUAACCCUGAUGUUACCUGCAGAAUAAGCACCGGCUAAUUCCGUGCCAGCAGCCGCGGUAAUACGGAAGGUGCAAGCGUUAAUCGGAAUUACUGGGCGUAAAGCGCGCGUAGGUGGUUUUG
rnacentral:rRNA from 1 species